rnacentral:rRNA from 1 species
CCCUUCGAUGUUCUGGGCCGCACGCGCGCUACACUGAUGCAUUCAACGAGUCUAAAACCUGCUCUGAUAGGGGUGGGUAAUCUUUUGAAUGUGCAUCGUGAUUGGGAUAGAUGAUUGCAAUUUUUCAUCUUCAACGAGGAAUGCCUAGUAAACGCAAGUCAUCAGCUUGCAUUGAUUACGUCCCUGCCCUUUGUACACACCGCCCGUCGCUCCUACCGAUUGAAUGAUCCGAUGAAUAUCAUGGAUUGAGGAUGCAAGCAGGUUCGCCUGUCUUCAUCUUCGAGAAGUGAAGUAAAUCUUAUCAUUUAGAGGAAGGAGAAGUCGUAACA